rnacentral:rRNA from 1 species
UCGUGCCAGCCACCGCGGUUAUACGAGCGACUCAAGUUGACAAACACCGGCGUAAAGCGUGAUUAAGGUUUACAUUAACUAGAGCCAAACCACUUCUAAGCCGUUAUACGCAAUCGAAGAAAUGAAGCCCUAUCACGAAAGUAGCUCUACAUACCCCGAACCCACGAAAUCCAUAUAACAAACUGGGAUUAGAUACCCCACUAUGUAUGGCUAUAAACAAAGAUGGUGUAUCACACAACCAUUCGCCCGGGAACUACAAGCACUAGCUUAAAACCCAAAGGACUUGGCGGUGCUUUAUACCCCCCUAGAGGAGCCUGUUCUAAAACCGAUAACCCCCGUUUAACCUCACCCCCUUUUGUUUAACCCGCCUAUAUACCGCCGUCGUCAGCUUACCCUGUGAAGGCCCCAUAGUAAGCAAAAUUAGCACAGCCCAAAACGCCAGGUCGAGGUGUAGCGCAUAAGGGGGGAAGAAAUGGGCUACAUUCUCUCAAUGAGAUUAUUACUAAUGGUAAAUUGAAAUAUUAACCUGAAGGAGGAUUUAGCAGUAAGUAGAAAAAGAGUUUUCCACUGAAACUGGCCCUGAAGCGCGCACACACCGCCCGUCACUCUCCCCAAAUAAGCACCUAAACUAAAUAAAACAAUAAAAUUAACAAGGGGAGGCAAGUCGUAACAUGGUAAGCAUACCGGAA